rnacentral:rRNA from 1 species
GUGGCUUAAUUUGACUAACGCGGGAAAUCUUACCGGGUCCGGACACACUGAGGAUUGACAGGCAAUAUUAAUUUCUGCAGCUUCGGCUAAAGUUAUUAUGUUAAAUAUGCUAGUCCUUUCAUGAUUAUGUGAUAGGUGGUGCAUGGCCGUUCUUAGUUCGUGGAGUGAUCUGUCUGCUUAAUUGCGUUUCACUAAGGGCCUAUAAAUUACGUGUGUUGCGGUACUUUGACCCCUCUUUUUUCACGAGAAGAGCGCGUGNCUUAGUUUGCUUAGCUCACACAAUUAGGUCCUGAAAGCAACGAACGUGACCGCAACCUCUUGUUGCCUUUAUACCAAACAUGGAUAUUCUCUUCGGAGGGUUUCAUGAAAAAAGGCUUUUUAAACUAGAGGGACCGCUGUUACUUCCUUAAACCAGAGGAAGGUUGCGGCAAUAACAGGUCUGUGAUGCCCUUAGAUGUUCCGGGCUGCACACGUGCUACAAUGAUUAUUGCAGUGAGCAUCUCAUUUUUUACACACCGCAUACGCGAGUCCAUUUAUUCACUCUCGGGUGCUUUAAAUGUGCAUCUCUGCGAGCGGUAAAGCCUGCUUCGAAAGUAAGUGGGUAAUCAAUUAGAAGUAAUGAUUUCCUUUUUUUCUAGCACACAUAUAUACGGCGUUUAUACCCGGGCUGCCUUGUUGUAGCUUUUGUGCGUAUAGAUGUUUUUUCCGUAUGUGCGAUUGUCAAUUCAUGGUGGGGACAGACCAUUGUUAAUUGUUGGUCUCGGUCUUAACUAGGAAUGCCUUGUACGGGUCUUUGGUUCAACAAACCACCCGGAAUACGUCCCUGCCCUUUGUACACACCGCCCGUCGCUCUUACCGAUGGACUUCUCUGUGAGUUUGAGGGACUGGGAACGCAGGUUUUUUAUUAAAUCUGCACACCUAUGGAAACUUAAACGAACAGUGUGGUCUAAAGGAAAGAGAAGUCGUAACAAGGCAUCGGUAGGUGAACCUGCAGAAGGAUCA